rnacentral:misc_RNA from 1 species
GAUGAAGAACGCAGCGAAAUGCGAUAAGUAGUGUGAAUUGCAGAAUUCAGUGAAUCAUCGAAUCUUUGAACGCACAUUGCGCCCGCCGGUAUUCCGGCGGGCAUGCCUGUUCGAGCGUCAUUUCAACCAUCAAGCCCUGGGCUUGUGUUGGGGACCUGCGGCUGCCGCAGGCCCUGAAAUGCAGUGGCGGGCUCGCAAGACACACCGAGCGUAGUAGCUUACAACCUCGCUUUGGGAGUGCUGCGGGUGCUGGCCGUAAAGCGACCUUUGCGUCUUUAGCACUAGGUUGACCUCGGAUCAGGUAGGAGGACCCGCUGAACUUAAGCAUAUCAAUAAGCGGAGGA